UGCCAGCGGCUUGCAAUUACGCUACUCUGUUCACCAGGUCAGGUCCGGAAGGAAGCAGCCAGGGCAGACGACGUGGGUGCCGGGAUGUAGCUGGCAGGG
rnacentral:SRP_RNA from 1 species